AGCUCUCACUGCCCUGUGAAGGACCUAGCACAGUGUCUGACACAUGGGAGAUGCUUAUUACAUCCCCAUUGGGUGAGUGACUUGCAGGGAGAAGGCUGAGGGUAGAAGCUUGUUGCAGGUACAGGGAACAGAAUCCUAGGAGGAACUGACAACCCAACCUCCAAUUCUUGGCUGCCCACUCCCUUCUAUCAGAGAGACACAGUAACCAGAGAAGUUGAUGUUACUGUCCUUGAGCAACCAAGGAGGAAC